UGAUCUACUCCUAAUUAUCGCCUCGGCU
rnacentral:sRNA from 1 species